rnacentral:sRNA from 1 species
AAGCGCAACGCAUUGCCAGUUUACUGGCGCUGGAACGCCUGCGGGCGCUUCAGGUAAGGAGGCCACCCAACCGGGUGGCCUUUUUAUAUGGC